rnacentral:miRNA from 1 species
CUUGCGUUUGUUUCCUCACAG